rnacentral:lncRNA from 1 species
GGGUAGGGGAAAGGAUAGAAGGGAAUGGGAUUAAUAUGAGAAAAUGGAAAACUAGGAACAAAAUCUUUGUAAAUAGGGAGGACUGGAGGGGUUGAAAGGAGGGCUGGGCAAGGGUGAAAAAUAAGAACCAAGCGAGACUAUGUAAAUUCAAUAUGAGGGAAGGUUAAUUGUGCCCAACCAGAAAGGUCUAUAAUGUUCAAGACUGUGUUCCUCAUGUAACUGGCAUUGCAAAAUGAAACUUUAAAGGUUAUCUUUCUUCUUUUAGAGUCAAAUGGCUUCCUGAGGCCUAAGACAUAAACAGCUUCCCCCACCUCUCCUCAGGACAAGUGAAGGAACAGAAUAUGAAGAUGCUGACACCAAGAAGCCUGAAGCCCAGAUUCAUUUCCCCAAGGAAGGGGACAGUGAGCUAAAGAUGGCUAAAAAUGAUAAAACACAAUGGUGAUGGAGAUCCAAUGUGGCUGAAUAGAGAAGGAGUCACAUCAGAGAGACUCAGAGAUCAACUAAAAACACAGGUAACUGGAAGCAGAACAGGGACAUGCACUCCAAUACAAAAAAUCAAUUUGAAAGAAGACACUUGUGCAUCAAACAAAGCAUACACAUAGAAGUUAAAAAGAGGUGAAGCCAUCCACCAGGGCUGGUCCACAGGAGCCUUACCUUUGCCCACCCCAG